UCAUCAUGCCCUUAUGACCUGGGCUACACACGUGCUACAAUGGUUGGUACAACGAGUUGCGAGUCGGUGACGGCGAGCUAAUCUCUUAAAGCCAAUCUCAGUUCGGAUUGUAGGCUGCAACUCGCCUACAUGAAGUCGGAAUCGCUAGUAAUCGCGGAUCAGCACGCCGCGGUGAAUACGUUCCGUCCGGGCCUU
rnacentral:rRNA from 1 species